rnacentral:rRNA from 1 species
ACGAAUAAUGAAUGGUCCAGGGUAGGCAAAAACUAAUAGCUCUUUUAUGAUUAUGUGAUAGGUGGUGCAUGGCCGUUCUUAGUUCGUGGAGUGAUCUGUCUGCUUAAUUGCGUUUCAAAACAACUGAUACACAGAGUCUUGGCACAGUUCAGUUUAAUGGCGUCGAGUAUCUUUGAUUUCGACAGUAGUCCAACUCGGUUCGCCAGGGUCUCUUUUGAACGCAACGGACGUGAUCGCAACCCUUUGUUGAGUGAUGUCAGCACUCUACGUCUAUCCUAGCUCGUUGAUCGCAAGUGAGAGUUGGGUGGGCAAACUCAGGGGACAGCUUCAACUAUUCUUCUUCAAACUAGAGGAAGGUUGCGGCAAUAACAGGUCUGUGAUGCCCUCAGAUGUUCUAGGCUGCACACGUGCUACAUUGAUCAGCACAAUGCGAUACAUUUCGAAAGGAAACAUCGGUUUUAAGGUAACGUCGAUUGCCUACCGAUAGCACCUGGUCCCCAGUGGACUGGGCAAUCUCUUCUAAAUGCUGGUAAGGUACCCACACUCGAGCUAUUUAAUCACAC